rnacentral:rRNA from 1 species
UACGUAGGGUGCAAGCGUUAAUCGGAAUUACUGGGCGUAAAGCGUGCGCAGGCGGUUUUUUAAGACAGAUGUGAAAUGCCCGGGCUUAACCUGGGAACUGCAUUUGUGACUGCAAGGCUAGAGUUUGGCAGAGGGGGGUAGAAUUCCACGUGUAGCAGUGAAAUGCGUAGAUAUGUGGAGGAAUACCGAUGGCGAAGGCAGCCCCCUGGGUCAAGACUGACGCUCAUGCACGAAAGCGUGGGGAGCAAACAGG